CUAUUUUGGCAGCUGUCCUGGUGCUGUCUUACUUCUGCCUGUCACAUCAGAGUGUCAGGUACCAUGUCGCAUGAGAAAGGCUGAUUCAGGAGGAAUAGGCUUGGGUAGCUCUGACUUGUGGAGACUUUGGAGAAGGGAUGGAGGAGAUUUGAGAGCUAUACUCACUGGGAAACCUCACACUGCACUGAUGAGAGCAGAUGGCUCCUGCUCCUUGUGCACUACAACAUUACUGGCAAAUUGCAACAGGCCAUGAACUGAUCUUGUCAGCCGCAGUGAGACACAUCAGAAAAAUGUGUUUCUGUCCAGUGUGGAGAAUGGAGAGACCAGGAGUCCUGGGGUGACCUUUUGCCUUCCACAUAAGUUGGCCAGGAUGAGACUGAAGUUCAUUAAAAUCUGAAAAAAAAAAUCAGUUUCUAGAUUUCCAAGUGUUUCUAAACUGCACAGAAGCUGUAGUUGAACCUGGAUCAUAGCUGAGGGAAGAGGUUAGGCUCACAGUUCCCUGAAGAAAAAAGUUCAGAAUAUGAAAACUUGGUUGAAACAAACUGCUGUGCUUAGCAGUCCUGUGAGAGCCCAGAGAAAUGCAUGCACAGGGUCACUCCUGCACCUCCAGCUGCCUGUGAAGCUUUGUGUCAACACUGAUUAUCCCAAGAGUUUGUCCCAUGUGAUCAGCUUCUGCCAGACCUGCCACAGGAAUUUCUAGGGUUCUCCAUGUGCUCCAGAAACAUGGAUUUAUGGAAGACUUUGUUCAGUCCUGACAUGCUGUGAGGAAACCAGGAGUUAGUAUAGAUCUAUAAACAUGCUCAGAGGGAGCAAUUACUUCUGGCAUGUGAAUGAUAGGAUCAAUAUGCACACAUUCUAUA